GACGAACGCUGGCGGCGUGCUUAACACAUGCAAGUCGAACGGAAAGGCCCUGCUUUUGUGGGGUGCUCGAGUGGCGAACGGGUGAGUAACACGUGAGUAACCUGCCCUUGACUUUGGGAUAGCUUCAGGAAACUGGGGCUAAUACCGGAUAGGAGCUCCUGCUGCAUGGUGGGGGUUGGAAAGUUUCGGCGGUUGGGGAUGGACUCGCGGCUUAUCAGCUUGUUGGUGGGGUAGUGGCUUACCAAGGCUUUGACGGGUAGCCGGCCUGAGAGGGUGACCGGCCACAUUGGGACUGAGAUACGGCCCAGACUCCUACGGGAGGCAGCAGUGGGGAAUAUUGCACAAUGGGCGGAAGCCUGAUGCAGCAACGCCGCGUGCGGGAUGACGGCCUUCGGGUUGUAAACCGCUUCCGCCUGUGACGAAGCGUGAGUGACGGUAAUGGGUAAAGAAGCACCGGCUAACUACGUGCCAGCAGCCGCGGUGAUACGUAGGGUGCGAGCGUUGUCCGGAUUUAUUGGGCGUAAAGGGCUCGUAGGUGGUUGAUCGCGUCGGAAGUGUAAUCUUGGGGCUUAACCCUGAGCGUGCUUUCGAUACGGGUUGACUUGAGGAAGGUAGGGGAGAAUGGAAUUCCUGGUGGAGCGGUGGAAUGCGCAGAUAUCAGGAGGAACACCAGUGGCGAAGGCGGUUCUCUGGGCCUUUCCUGACGCUGAGGAGCGAAAGCGUGGGGAGCGAACAGGCUUAGAUACCCUGGUAGUCCACGCUGUAAACGGUGGGUACUAGGUGUGGGGUCCAUUCCACGGGUUCCGUGCCGUAGCUAACGCUUUAAGUACCCCGCCUGGGGAGUACGGCCGCAAGGCUAAAACUCAAAGGAAUUGACGGGGCUCCGCACAAGCGGCGGAGCAUGCGGAUUAAUUCGAUGCAACGCGUAGAACCUUACCUGGGUUUGACAUGGAUCGGGAGUGCUCAGAGAUGGGUGUGCCUCUUUUGGGGUCGGUUCACAGGUGGUGCAUGGCUGUCGUCAGCUCGUGUCGUGAGAUGUUGGGUUAAGUCCCGCAACGAGCGCAACCCUUGUUCACUGUUGCCAGCACGUUAUGGUGGGGACUCAGUGGAGACCGCCGGGGUCAACUCGGAGGAGGGUGGGGAUGACGUCAAGUCAUCAUGCCCCUUAUGUCCAGGGCUUCACGCAUGCUACAAUGGCUGGUACAGAGAGUGGCGAGCCUGUGAGGGUGAGCGAAUCUCGGAAAGCCGGUCUCAGUUCGGAUUGGGGUCUGCAACUCGACCUCAUGAAGUCGGAGUCGCUAGUAAUCGCAGAUCAGCAACGCUGCGGUGAAUACGUUCCCGGGGCU
rnacentral:rRNA from 1 species